GAUGAAGAACGUAGCGAAACGCGAUAUGUAAUGUGAAUUGCAGAAUUCAGUGAAUCAUCGAAUCUUUGAACGCACAUUGCGCCCGCCAGUAUUCUGGCGAGCAUGCCUGUUCGAGCGUCAUUUCAACCAUCAAGCCCCAGGCUUGUGUUGGAGCCCUGCGGCUGCCGCAGCCUCCCAAAACCAGUGGCGGGCUCGCUAUCACACCGAGUGCAGUAGUUUACUCUUCGCUCAGGGCGUGUGGCGGGUGCUAGCCGUGAAACCCCCAACUUCUCAAGGUUGACCUCGGAUCAGGUAGGAAUACCCGCUGAACUUAAGCAUAUCAAUAAGCGGAGGA
rnacentral:misc_RNA from 1 species